UGAUGAUGAUGAUGAUGAUGAUGAUGAUGAUGAUGAUGAUGAUGAUGAUAAUGCUGAUAAUGCUGAUAAUGAAUCAUCAUCAGAUGAUGAUUAUCAUCAUCAUCAUCAUUAUUAUCAUCAUCAUCAUCAUCAAAA
rnacentral:pre_miRNA from 1 species